AUUGAACGCUGGCGGCAGGCCUAACACAUGCAAGUCGAACGAGCGGCGGACGGGUGAGUAAUGUCUGGGAAACUGCCUGAUGGAGGGGGAUAACUACUGGAAACGGUAGCUAAUACCGCAUACCAUCAGAUGUGCCCAGAUGGGAUUAGCUAGUGGGUGGGGUAAAGGCUCACCUAGGCGACGAUCCCUAGCUGGUCUGAGAGGAUGACCAGCCCCACUGGAACUGAGACACGGUCCAGACUCCUACGGUAGGCAGCAGUGGGGAAUAUUGCACAAUGGGCGAAAGCCUGAUGCAGCCAUGCCGCGUGUGUGAAGAAGGCCUUCGGGUUGUAAAGUACUUUCAGCGGGGAGGCGUUACCCGCAGAAGAAGCACCGGCUAACUCCGUGCCAGCAGCCGCGGUAAUUC
rnacentral:rRNA from 1 species